UGACCUUUCGGAGGUCGUGCACGUCUGAGCACUCUCACACAUCCAUCUCACCCCUUUGUGCAUCACCGCGUGGGUCCCCCUUUGCAGGAGGGCCUCACGUUUUCACACCAAACUUGAUACAGUGUAGAAUGUUAUCUUUUGCAGUCACACGCAAUCAAUACAACUUUCAACAACGGAUCUCUUGGCUCUCGCAUCGAUGAAGAACGCAGCGAAAUGCGAUACGUAAUGUGAAUUGCAGAAUUCAGUGAAUCAUCGAAUCUUUGAACGCACCUUGCGCCCCUUGGCAUUCCGAGGGGCACACCCGUUUGAGUGUCAUGAAAUCCUCAAAAACCCUUUUCUGCUUUCUGAAAAGGACUUUUGGACUUGGAGGUUUAAUGCUUGCCCUUUUGAUUUUGAAAGUGCGAGCUCCUCCCAAAUAAAUUAGUGGGGUCCGCUUUGUUGAUCCUUGAUGUGAUAAGAUGUUUCUACAUUUUGGAUUUGGCACUGUCGCUUGGAUGCCUGCUCCUAACCGUUUCAUGAACAAUGAUGGUGCUCCGGUCACCACUGCCUACAUUGGCGGGGGGAGGCUGGACCCACGAAAGAAAACCUUGACCUCAAAUCGGGUGAGACUACCCGCUG
rnacentral:rRNA from 1 species